GAUGAACGCUGGCGGCGUGCCUAAUACAUGCAAGUCGAGCGAACAGAUGAUGAGCUUGCUCCUCUGACGUUAGCGGCGGACGGGUGAGUAACACGUGGAUAACCUACCUAUAAGACUGGGAUAACUUCGGGAAACCGGAGCUAAUACCGGAUAAUAUAUUGAACCGCAUGUUUCAAUAGUGAAAGACGGUUUUGCUGUCACUUAUAGAUGGAUCCGCUCCGCAUUAGCUAGUUGGUAAGGUAACGUCUUACCAAGGCAACGAUGCGUAGCCGACCUGAGAGGGUGAUCGGCCACACUGGAACUGAGACAAGGUCCAGACUCCUAAGGGAGGCAGCAGUAGGGAAUCUUCCGAAAUGGGCGAAAGCCUGACGGAGCAACGCCGAGUGAGUGAUGAAGGUCUUCGGAUCGUAAAACUCUGUUAUUAGGGAAGAACAAAUGUGUAAGUAACUAUGCACGUCUUGACGGUACCUAAUCAGAAAGCCACGGCUAACUACGUG
rnacentral:rRNA from 1 species